UGCUAUACAUGCAAGUCGAACGCUUCUUUUUCCACCGGAGCUUGCUCCACCGGAAAAAGAGGAGUGGCGAACGGGUGAGUAACACGUGGGUAACCUGCCCAUCAGAAGGGGAUAACACUUGGAAACAGGUGCUAAUACCGUAUAACAAUCGAAACCGCAUGGUUUUGAUUUGAAAGGCGCUUUCGGGUGUCGCUGAUGGAUGGACCCGCGGUGCAUUAGCUAGUUGGUGAGGUAACGGCUCACCAAGGCCACGAUGCAUAGCCGACCUGAGAGGGUGAUCGGCCACAUUGGGACUGAGACACGGCCCAAACUCCUACGGGAGGCAGCAGUAGGGAAUCUUCGGCAAUGGACGAAAGUCUGACCGAGCAACGCCGCGUGAGUGAAGAAGGUUUUCGGAUCGUAAAACUCUGUUGUUAGAGAAGAACAAGGAUGAGAGUAACUGUUCAUCCCUUGACGGUAUCUAACCAGAAAGCCACGGCUAACUACGUGCCAGCAGCCGCGGUAAAAUGUCGU
rnacentral:rRNA from 1 species